GCGGUGGUGAAAAUCUGGACUCCCCACUAGGCCUUUUGGACAUCACUGCAGCUGGGUGAAGGAGAGAUGCCUUGUUAUCGCUGCAUGAGAGUGGAAGUACAGGCUCCCCAUGUGGUCUGACAUGGAUGUGACACAGGUCUAACACCAAAACUGUGGGAGUGAGUGAAGUUGGGAGAAAGUCCCACAGAGUCUGGAGGUCUGGAAGAUGAAAUGGAACCAGCAAAGAAGUUUGAGACCCGUGUGCGGACAACUCUGGGAGUGAUGUCACAAAUAUAUAAUUUACUUGUCAAACUUAUUUCUGUAGAUGAGAUUUCAGUGCAAACAAACAAAAAAAUCUUGAAGAGAAUUUUCUGACUCAAGAUUUCAAUGAAUGCUGUACAAACGUAGAAUAAAACUUGAGUUUCCUAA